GUAGAGUUCUGGCCUUCCAAGCCAGCUGUGAGGGUUCGAUCCCCUUCACCCGCUCCA
rnacentral:tRNA from 2 species